rnacentral:rRNA from 1 species
UACGUAGGGACCAAGCGUUGUUCGGAUUUACUGGGCGUAAAGGGCGCGUAGGCGGCGCGGUAAGUCACUUGUGGAAAUCUCUGAGCUUAACUCAGAACGGCCAAGUGAUACUGCAGUGCUAGAGUGCAGAAAGGGCAAUCGGAAUUCUUGGUGUAGCGGUGAAAUGCGUAGAUAUCAAGAGGAACACCUGAGGCGAAGGCGGGUUGCUAGGCUGACACUGACGCUGAGUGCGCGAAAGCCAGGGGAGCAAACGGG